rnacentral:lncRNA from 1 species
ACUGUCUCUGCUUUGUUGGGUUGCUUUCCUCAUUUGUGGAACUCCAGCCUUUUGUUGGAACUCCAGGAGUUGACUAAGAAACUAUUUAAAGAAUCAAGGCACUUGAAUAAGCUGCUUUAAGGAACCACCAAUACUAGAAGACAUACUGUGCUUUAAGAUGACUGGGCAUUUUGCAGUGCAGACACCAAUCCUUGGAAGGACGUACAACACACUAAGGGUUGGAGCCCUUCUUGGAGUCCUCAUCCCACUGGCUGUCUACAUCUUUUUUAUCAAGACCAUACACAUAAGGAUAACACAUGAGCCUCCUAAGGGCUCUGACAGGGUAAAGAAGGAACUUGAGUUGGGACUGAAGUCUGAGCAAUUCUAUAGAGAAGUUAAAGAUUAUUUUUUUGCCAUUUAAACUUUUCUCACGUCCUUUUCAUUGCACAUCUUUGUGUAAUUAGGAAAUCAGAAAUUAGGGUUAUUCUGGAACUCAGCUCACACCUACCUUUCUAGAAUUUUUUUCCCAUGACCAUUAUACGAGUACCUUAAAUGUGUCUAAAACCAGUCUAUUUGCCAUCCCCCAAGCAUACUUAAGAAAACUGUGGGCCGGGCGUGAUGGCUCACGUGGGCGGAUCACGAGGUCAGGAGAUUGAGACCAUUCUGGCUAACACGGUGAAACCCCGUCUCUACUUAAAAAUACAAAAAACUAG